rnacentral:rRNA from 1 species
AGAACGAACGCUGGCGGCAGGCUUAACACAUGCAAGUCGAACGGUUGUAGCAAUACAGCAGUGGCAGACGGGUGAGUAACACGUGGGAACCUUCCUAGGGGUACGGAACAACUCAGGGAAACUUGAGCUAAUACCGUAUACGUCCGUGAGGAGAAAGAUUUAUCGCCCUUAGACGGGCCCGCGUAGGAUUAGGUAGUUGGUGAGGUAACGGCUCACCAAGCCUACGAUCCUUAGCUGAUCUGAGAGGAUGAUCAGCCACACUGGGACUGAGACACGGCCCAGACUCCUACGGGAGGCAGCAGUGGGGAAUCUUGGACAAUGGGCGCAAGCCUGAUCCAGCCAUGCCGCGUGAGUGAAGAAGGCCUUGGUUGUAAAGCUCUUUUACCAGGGACGAUAAUGACGUACCUGGAGAAUAAGCCCGGCAAACUUCGUGCCAGCAGCCGC